GACGAACGCUGGCGGCGUGCUUAACACGUGCAAGUCGAGCGGUAAGGCCCUUUCGGGGGUACACGAGCGGCGAACGGGUGAGUAACACGUGGGUGACCUGCCCUCAGCUCCGGGAUAAGCCUGGGAAACUGGGUCUAAUACUGGAUAUGACUCCACGGUGCAUGUCGUGGGGUGGAAAGCCUUGUGCGGCUGAGGAUGGGCCCGCGGCCUAUCAGCUUGUUGGUGGGGUGAUGGCCACCAAGGCGACGACGGGUAGCCGGCCUGAGAGGGCGACCGGCCACACUGGGACUGAGACACGGCCCAGACUCUUACGGGAGGCAGCAGUGGGGAAUCUUGCGCAAUGGGCGAAAGCCUGACGCAGCGACGCCGCGUGAGGGAUGACGGCCU
rnacentral:rRNA from 1 species